CACGUAGGGUGCGAGCGUUGUCCGGAAUUACUGGGCGUAAAGCGCACGUAGGCGGAUCAUUUAGUCAGGGGUGAAAUCCCGGGGCUCAACCUCGGAACUGCCUUUGAUACUGAUGGUCUCGAGUCCGAUAGAGGUGAGUGGAAUUCCUAGUGUAGAGGUGAAAUUCGUAGAUAUUCGCAAGAACACCAGUGGCGAAGGCGGCUCACUGGCCCAUAACUGACGCUGAGGCACGAAAGCGUGGG
rnacentral:rRNA from 1 species